CUCUCUCUCUCUCUCUCUGUAUACUUGAUGGUUUUAUAAAUAUGGGUUUUCUUCAUUUCGUCUUUUUUCUAGUAGGUUCUGCGAUGGUGAUGAUGAUGUGUGGGUCUUCAUUUCGUCUUUGCUCUCUCUCUCUCUCUGUGUAAAUUAAUGGGUCUUCAAUUAGAUUGGGAAAGGUUCUUCAUUUCGUCUUUUUGCUAGUGGGUUAUGCGAUGGUGAUGAUGAUGUGUGGGUCUUCAUUUCGUCUUUUCUCUCUCUCUAUAAAUUAAUGAGUCUUCAAUUUGAUUGGGAGAGGGAUAUGUGGGUGUUGCUUCAGUUUUUCUGCAGGUAGCAGAAUUCAAGGAAUCUUCUAAACGUGAAUCUUUCACAGCUCUUUCAAGUUCCCUUGGACAUAUACUCAUGCAGCUUCAUACAGUUGCUCACAGAAAUGGAUGAAUUUGAGUCAGACUCGAAGGUGGUGGUUGUUGCUGCAAUCUGAAGAGAGUGCAUCUACAGGAAUCUGAAGAGGGUGCAGCAUUAGAGUCUAAGAAAAUGAGCCAUAACACUCGCAUGGCUCUGAUAAAGUUCUUACAGAAAAAACGAUACGGCAGCCAUUGAUGCUUAUUUCUGGUUUGAUUUGUUUUAAUCAAUUGGCAGCCAUUGAAACUUAUUUCUAUUUGUAUGCAAAUGUGGGAUUGUAUGUUGAACUUUGUUUUACUGGAAAUUUGGUUAACUUUCAUGUUACUUUUGUU